rnacentral:rRNA from 1 species
UGGGGAAUAUUGCACAAUGGGCGAAAGCCUGAUGCAGCAACGCCGCGUGCGGGAUGACGGCCUUCGGGUUGUAAACCGCUUUCAGCAGGGACGAAGGGUUUCUGACGGUACCUGCAGAAGAAGCACCGGCUAACUACGUGCCAGCAGCCGCGGUGAUACGUAGGGUGCGAGCGUUGUCCGGAAUUAUUGGGCGUAAAGAGCUCGUAGGUGGUUUGUUGCGUCGGAAGUGAAAACUCAGGGCUUAACCCUGAGCCUGCUUUCGAUACGGGCAGACUAGAGGAAGGUAGGGGAGAACGGAAUUCCUGGUGGAGCGGUGGAAUGCGCAGAUAUCAGGAGGAACACCGGUGGCGAAGGCGGUUCUCUGGACCUUUCCUGACGCUGAGGAGCGAAAGCGUGGGGAGCAAACAGGCUUAGAUACCCUGGUAGUCCACGCCGUAAACGGUGGCACUAGGUGUGGGGGACAUUCCACGUUCUCCGUGCCGCAGCUAACGCAUUAAGUGCCCCGCCU